UCAUAGUUAUUUUUAGGAUGCUGGCUUUUUGCAGCCUGGUGUGCCCAGUUGCAACUUCAGUGUUCUGCAGCAGUGCCAGAUAGCAGAGUGGCAGUGAGGUAAUCAGCUGAAAAGCAGAGUUUUCUCUCCUGCUCCCUUUUUUUGUUUUAUUCUCCCUCUCCAGGAUUGAGACUGUUCAUACGUGGACACUUUUGAAUGAGCCCUGUGUUUUACAGUCACCCUGAAUGUGAUGUCAGAGGAGGUGGCAGUGGUAGGUGAUUGGUUGAUGAUUCUGGAGGGAGCAGCUGCCUUCAGCAGGUUGCUUCGGUUGAUGAUGUAUAACAAUGGGACAGGCAGGCGCUGAGGAGUGGGAGUGAGACGGGAAUACUCAUUAGUCACACAUUUCCUACAGGGGAACAGGGACUCUUCCGUCAGCCAAGGAAGCGUGCAAAGUAAAGGUCAACUCGGUCACUUGAUUGGCAGCACAGUAGCCGAUGGUUAUAGGCAAAAACCUGUGCAUACUUGAAUUUAAAAUGUAGUCCUGUUUCCAAUCAAUCCCUGGUCAGUAUUCUUGAGAUUGCAGAAUGCAGUUCAACAGCUCUUUCAUCCAAAAAAUGCCACCAGGAAUAAUGACCAUUGUUGGUUCUACAGGAAGCCAGAUGCAGCAAACAUGGAGGAAGCCAGACUCCAAGGACAUCUUUACAGGAGUUCCUCAGGGGAGUGUCCAAGGUUCAAUUAACUUCAACUGCUUCAUCAAUGAUAGCCCCUCCAUUGUAAUGUCAGAAGUGGAGAAUUUUGCUGAUUGUACAACUAUGUUUAGCACCAUUUGUGACUCCUCAUAUACUGAAGCAAUCUGUGUCCCAAUGCAGCAAGACCUGGACAAUGUACAAGCUUAAGCAAAUGAUUACCAAGUAACAUUUGCGUCACACAAGUGUCAGGUAAUGACCAUCUCCAUCAAGAGAGAAUCUAAUCUAUCAUUACUUGCUGUUCAUUGGUAUUACCAUAGCUGGAAUCCUCAUAUCAACCUCCUGGGCAUUAGCAUUGAUUUAAAACUGAACUGAACUAGUGAAUUAUAAAUCAUGGCUACAGGGGCAGGUCAGAGGCUGGAAUAUCUAUGUCAGGUAACUCACAUCCUGUUUCCCCAAAACCAGUCCACUAUCUGCAAAUCACAAGUCGAGAGAAUGGUGGAAUAUUCUCUAUUUACCUAAUGAGUGUAGCUCCAAACACACUUUUUUUUUAAAAAAAAGACUUGACACCAUAUGGUACAAAACAGUUACCCAGUCUACUGCCUUGAACAUUCAUUCUCUUUGGGCAAUGCACACUGGCAGCAGUGUCUAUGAUCCACAAGAUGCAGUGUAGCAACUCGCCAUGUUCCUUUGAUUGCACCUUUAUAAGCCUCUAAGCCUAGAAGGACAAGGGAAGCAGAUGCCUGUGAAUAGUAACACCUAUAAAUCCUUCUUCAAGCCAAGUACCAUACUGAUUUAUAAAAAAUAUUGCCAUUCUUUUGCUGUCUGUGACUCAAGAAUUAUGAAACACCAAGAAUUGCCUCCCUAACAGCACUGGAUGUACCAACAACACAUGGACUGGAGCACUUCAAGAUGGCAGCUCACCAUCUCCUUAAGGGCAAUGUGAGAUGGGUUACUUAUGUUGUCCUACUCGGAGAUACCCAUAUCUAAUUUUGUUUUUAAAGGGAAGGAUUUCUUGUGAAAACUGAUCCUCAUAAAUUGUUUUCUUGUUAUGACAUAAAGAUCCAGUUUUUUUUUUUGACUUCUCAAUAUGCAACCCAAACUAAUUGACUUUAAAAUUAACUGGGCAAUGUCCUAACAUUGGAUUCAGUUGAACUGAGAUUGAUUUACAUACUACUUGUUUAUCUUGAACUUGGAAAUAGUUUGGUACAGAACCUAUUUAUUUUAAUUAUUUUUUAAAUUUACAAGCUUGUGAUUUUGAGCUAAUUAAUCAGAAAUAUGUAAUUUUAUACUUGUUAAAUAUUCAUAGUGAAUAAUGAAAUUAAACUGACCCAUUUUAGAUGAUCAAUGAACAGAUUAGUAUUUUUUAAAGAUAAAGAUGAGACCUUAAUCUGCUGAUGAUAUGUAUGCAUUGUGUAUGAACUGUAAAGCUUAAUGCAAAAGAAGGGCACUUGCAGUUAUAACGGAACAAGUCUUUAUGGAAAUAAAUUGCAGGCACAGAUGUUUUUGGUUUCUAAAAACAACACUAAAAUCAGGUCCAUAAAAGAAAUGAUUCACUCAGCCAGAAGAUACAUUUGUGAUCAGUUCAGUGUCUAACUUGGAUAGAAAAGGAUGCCAACUGAGCUAAGUAGAGAAAAUGCUUGAAACACUCAGCAGGUCAGGCAGCAUCUAUCCAAAGGGAAAUGGUUGAUGUUUCAGGUUAUCUCACAUUUGUUAACAUUUGCAGUAUUUUAGAUUUUUGCUAAUUGAGCAAUAUUAAUUUGAACCUUACUUUGGAGAUGUAUACAUUUUGUAGUAUUCAAAUUAAUAAAUGUA